UACAGAGGUGGCAAGCGUUGUUCGGAAUUACUGGGCGUAAAGGGCGCGUAGGCGGCCCGUCAAGUCCCGUGUGAAAGCCCCCGGCUCAACCGGGGAACUGCACGGGAAACUAGCAGGCUUGAGUUCGGGAGAGGGAAGCGGAAUUUCGGGUGUAGCGGUGAAAUGCGCAGAUAUCCGAAGGAACACCGGUGGCGAAGGCGGCUUGCUGGGACGGUACUGACGCUGAGACGCGAAAGCGUGGGGAGCAAACAGG
rnacentral:rRNA from 1 species